UCUUUCAGUAAUGUUUUAUAGUUUUCAGUGGACAAACCUUUCACUUCCUUAGUUAAAUUUAUUCCUAGGUAUAGGUAUUGUAUUCUUUAGGAUGCUACUGAAAGUGGAAUUAUUUUUCUUACUUUCAUUUUAGGAUUUUUUAAUCGCUGGUGGAUAGAAACACAGCUGAUUUGAUCACUUCAUCUGUGAAUAGGGAUGUAGUAGCCUCCCUCAUCAGCAGAAGAUAUGUUCCACGACCCCCAGAGUGGUGGCUCAUGCC